rnacentral:rRNA from 1 species
CGGAGGAUCCAAGCGUUAUCCGGAUUUAUUGGGUUUAAAGGGUGCGUAGGCGGCGUGAUAAGUCAGUGGUGAAAGUUUGCGGCUUAACCGUAAAAUUGCCAUUGAUACUGUCGGGCUUGAGUACAGAUGAGGUAGGCGGAAUGUGUCAUGUAGCGGUGAAAUGCAUAGAUAUGACACAGAACACCGAUUGCGAAGGCAGCUUACUAAAGUGUAACUGACGCUGAGGCACGAAAGCGUGGGGAUCAAACAGGAUUAGAUACCCUGGUAGUCCACGCCCUAAACGAUGAUUACUCGAUGUCGGCGAUAGACAGUCGGCGUCCAAGCGAAAGCGUUAAGUAAUCCACCUGGGGAGUACGGUCGCAAGAUUG